ACAACUUGAGAGAAAUUUCCUUUUUAUGAUCCAUGAAGGGUACAUAAAAUCCCUUCUGUCAGGAAUCCGAAGCCUGAGAGAAGGCUAGGUUGGGCUGGGGUAAGGGACAUCCUAUAAUGACUGUAGUCCAAGACCAGGAUCCAACUGGGCUCCCUUGGGCUUUCACGUGAGGAAGAAUGGAGUGGGACUUACAUGCCUGUCAAAGUAAGAAGAGUAAAGAAUGGAUCUAAUCCGUUUAACCACUAUCUUUAUCACACGUUCACUCAACCCAAUUUCCUUCAGUUAAACUAAGAAGGAAUCUUGGAAUCAAAGUUGUACAAAUGGCAGAGCUAAGCCCAAGGUAGAGGUGGGGCAUUGCCUUGCACUCUGGGUUCCUGGGGCUGAGAAAUGGCUACUUGGUGGACAGAAUAACCCAAAUCAUGUUUUCACUGCCAACUCCUUUGGUGACUCUUGAGAAAUCUUUUGAUACAUAGGACACUUUUUUAGUACUUUAAGUUAGACAACCAGAAGGAAAACUUUACAGAAAUUUCCUAAAUCUUAAUCACACAUUAGCUUAGUAAAGAUAAUGGAACAGAUUCCACAAAAUGCACAAAAUGUAUAUAGAGCCUAUAUCCAGCAGGACUUGUUAAGCUGUGUCUAUAUACCAAUUACAGAGUGUUCAAGUUGUAUGCCAGAUGGUGCACCUAGGUGCUUGGACAUCAUGUUCACCUCCAAUAUUUAUUCUGCACAGCAGCUAGAAUGACCUUCAUUAAUGCCAAAUUCCCAGAUUUGAGCCAGAUGUUGGAUGAAGUCCUGUAAGCACAGAAGAAAUUUUCAAAUAUCAACCUUUGAUGUGAGGGACGGGCCUCUCACCCAUCAGCAAGCACACAUAACCAAGUUAUCUUUGAGGUCCUGGAAGCGGGCUCCCACUGACAGGCAAGCAUGUCAGGGUCUCAGAGUGAUCAAGAGUCCAAGUCUAGUUGGCCCCGCUUAAGAUCCCCUGUCUCAGGUAGGAGGAGUUGGCACCAGGACAACAUACCACAUUCCUGGGAAUGCUCAGGCUACACUGCAACCAAGUGAUCAAUCUCAGAACUUGAGGGAAUGGGCACAAUCUAAAGCAUCUCUUACUAAGACUGCAGGUAAUAUUCACAAGCCUGGGAGGUCUGCAGGUUGCAGUUGCUAUCUGGACUCUCCAGGACAUUGACCCAGUUAGUAUUGUCCUUCUCCUUUCCCUAAGGAAAUCACUUCAGUCAGCUUUGAGUUCCCAAUGUGAGCAGCCCUCCUGAAUCCUUCCACUGAGUAUUCUCUACCUUUUGCUGCCUCUCUUUCUCUGUCUCUCAUGAAUGAAUGAAUAAAAUCUUUUUUAAAAAUG
rnacentral:lncRNA from 1 species